GAAAGCGUAAUAGCUCACUAGUCGAGUCGGCCUGCGCGGAAGAUGUAACGGGGCUAAGCAAUAUACCGAAGCUGCGGAUACGUGUUUACACGUAUGGUAGGGGAGCGUUGUGUAAGUGGAUGAAGGUGGAUUGAGAAGUCUGCUGGACAUAUCACAAGUGCGAAUGCUGACAUGAGUAACGAUAAUGGGAGUGAAAAACUCCCACGCCGGAAGACCAAGGUUUCCUGUCCCAUGCUAAUCAGGGCAGGGUAAGUCGGCCCCUAAGGCGAGGCAGAAAUGCGUAGUCGAUGGGAAACGGAUUAAUAUUUCCGUACUUGGUAUAUCAGUGAUGGGGGGACGGAGAAGGUUAUGCAAGCAUAGCGUUGGUUGUCUAUGUGAAAGUGUGUAGGGUUGAAGUUUAGGUAAAUCCGGACUUCUACAUGCCUGAGACACGAGACGAGAUUCUACGGAAUUGAAGUUGCAAAUACCCUGCUUCCAGGAAAAGCCUCUAAACUUAUGAUAUAUCGAACCGUACCCCAAACCGACACAGGUGGUCAGGUAGAGAAUACUAAGGCGCUUGAGAGAACUCGGGUGAAGGAACUCGGCAAAAUUGUACCGUAACUUCGGGAGAAGGUACGCCCUUGUUUGUGAUAGGACUUGCUCCUUGAGCAGAUGAGGGCCGCAGUGACCAGGUGGCUGGGACUGUUUAUUAAAAACACAGCACUCUGCUAACUCGCAAGAGGACGUAUAGGGUGUGACACCUGCCCGGUGCCGGAAGGUUAAUUGAUGGGGUUAUCUUCGGAGAAGCUCUUGAUCGAAGCCCCGGUAAACGGCGGCCGUAACUAUAACGGUCCUAAGGUAGCGAAAUUCCUUGUCGGGUAAGUUCCGACCUGCACGAAUGGUGUAACCAUGGCCACGCUGUCUCCACCCGAGACUCAGUGAAAUUGAAAUCGCAGUGAAGAUGCUGUGUACCCGCACCUAGACGGAAAGACCCCGUGAACCUUUACUACAGCUUGGCACUGAACAUUGAACCUACAUGUGUAGGAUAGGUGGGAGGCUUCGAAGCACAGUCGCUAGAUUGUGUGGAGCCGUCCUUGAAAUACCACCCUUGUAUGUUUGAUGUUCUAACAUUGGUCCCUUAUCGGGAUUAUGGACAGUGUCUGGUGGGUAGUUUGACUGGGGCGGUCUCCUCCCAAAUAGUAACGGAGGAGCACGAAGGUUAGCUAAUCACGGUCGGACAUCGUGAGGUUAGUGCAAUGGCAUAAGCUAGCUUAACUGCGAGACAGACACGUCGAGCAGGUACGAAAGUAGGUCAUAGUGAUC
rnacentral:rRNA from 1 species